rnacentral:rRNA from 1 species
CACGUAGGGGGCGAGCGUUGUCCGGAUUUAUUGGGCGUAAAGAGCUCGUAGGCGGCUCGGUAAGUCGGGUGUGAAACCUCCAGGCUCAACCUGGAGACGCCACCCGAUACUGCCGUGGCUAGAGUCCGGUAGAGGAGCGUAGAAUUCCUGGUGUAGCGGUGAAAUGCGCAGAUAUCAGGAAGAACACCCGUGGCUAAGGCGGCUCUCUAGUACGGUACUGACGCUGAGACGCGAAAGCGUGGGGAGCGAACAGG